CCGGCACCGGGUGGAGUAACACGUAUCCAACCCGCCGUCUACUCUUGGACAGCCUUCUGAAAGGAAGAUUAAUACAAGAUGGCAUCAUGAGUUCACAUGUUCACAUGAUUAAAGGUAUUCCGGUAGACGAUGGGGAUGCGUUCCAUUAGAUAGUAGGCGGGGUAACGGCCCACCUAGUCUUCGAUGGAUAGGGGUUCUGAGAGGAAGGUCCCCCACAUUGGAACUGAGACACGGUCCAA
rnacentral:rRNA from 1 species